ensembl:lncRNA GOLGA4-AS1 GOLGA4 antisense RNA 1
GUCUUUCAGGUCCCACCGCUCCUACCAGCAGCCUGACCCAGGAUGGCUCUACUCCCCAGCCUUCAAUCCCUGGACCUGGGUUUGGAAUUAGGAGACUUCCGUCGAGGGUCAAUUGUGCGGGAUCCUGGCCAUUCCAUACAAAAUCUCACGACUGGCAAAAGAGAGGGGGACCCCUCGAGCAGAGGUCAGAUAUCACAAGGGACCCGGGUUUUUCCACCCCGCCCUCAUUCCCAGCGUGGGGUCUCAGAUGAGUGGGAAAACCUCAAAUAUGGAUCAGAAAUCAUGCAAGUUCGGACUCUGGCCUUAGGAGAAAACUCUUAACGGAGAUGGAAUGUCACGAGGGAUCCAGCCACCCCCAUCCACUCAUUGACUGGAUGAAGUUUUGCGAUGGGAAAAUCCAGGUCAGGAGUUACGGACGACCUGCACCGCCCGGAGCUCCUUCUGGGUCCGGAGUUUGGGAAAAGUGCGGGUUAGGGGUUAAAGGUCACGGAAGAACUUCCCCACUCCCCCCGCCUCUUUCGUCCGCGGGCCGGUUCAAGAGGUAUUCGGAACCAGGGGAGGAGAGCGGCGGCCAUCGUACCUGAGCAGGAGCCAGCGCCUGCUGGAGCUGCUGCUGCUCCUCGCUGAUCUUUUGCUUCAGUUUCUUGAACAUGGCGCAGCGUACGUACGGUCCUGAGUGUCAACGAAACCUGAAGGGCGAGAGCCCGGGGAGUCCCGGCCGCGACGGCUACGGCGACUUCUUUACACCAGGGACAGCGGGGGCCGGGCCUCGCCGUCUCCUCCUUGAGGCUGUGGGCAAGUCCGGACACUCGUCCUGAGGGUGUCGGCGUCGCCGCCGCCGCGUCUCUUUCUUCCGGGUGCCACUGGCUGGCCUCGGCCCCCCAUCCAGCCCCGGGAGCCGCGGCGGCGACGACAACGGCAGCAGGUGAACUGUGCGCCAAGGGCGCUUGCGCGGCCUACGUGGAGCUCACAGAGGCUAACUACGGAGCACCGGAUGGGACAAGCACAAUGUCGGGUCCCGCACAUGCGCGCUCGGCCGGUCGCUUCCGAACUCGCUGCACUGGAGGACGCAAGGUUCGGUCCUGCCUGAUUUCGUUGCGUGCGGAGACCGCCGUCGCGGCUCAGAACCGGAGCGUGGGCUAGUCUGAACACUACCCUGACUCUCACCUGGGCUUUGGCCCUGCGAAAUCAGACGGGGAGAGUGCUGCUUCUAUCGAUGGCAGCAGGGCCGACGGGCCCACCGCAAAGAACACAGGGAUGAGCGUCAAGGAUGGGAGAAGGGGAGAUCCAGAGAACCUGACGCGGGCCCUAAUUGAUAGUGUUCUUUUCUUUAGUAGCUGUAGCUAGGAUUCUGUGUCUUCGGUGCCAGAGGGGCCCGCUUCCCUUCCCUGAACUCUUCCAGCGUCGGGAAGUCCCUGAUACCAGGCGCCAGGGGUCCAAAUGUUUUAUGCCAAUACUGUAAAACCUCAAGUGUUUGGACACCUGCUUUAUUCUUUUCUUCACCGAAAUCGUGUAUUUCACGAAUUCAUUCAAAAACCUUUAUCAGGCCUUGGAGAUGUUAAAAGAAUUUACAGCCUAGUGGAAGACACAGAUUCCUAAUUAGUCCAAAUUUACUCCUAACACCUGCAAUCAUCCUACAAGAUCUUAAUGUUUAUGUGCCUCAUUUAUCUAAAACCCUGAACUUUGGCUGCCUGUGAAUCCUCAGGUCCAUUUCAGCAACCCACUUUUGCAUGCUGUACCUUUGAUAUCAUCUGAAACUGCUUACAUUGUCUCCGGUAUCAGAAUCUAACAGUAUAUGCUGAUCUCCACGUUCUAGCAAAUUUUGUUUACCAGCAAUAAUAGGAGCAACCUGCUCUCGAGAGUCCAUAUUCUGAUCCCUAAAUGUAUUAGAGCCACAGUGGGGCCUGGAACACUGCCUUAACACCUGGGCUAAGUCCUCUUAUAUCUCGUAGUGAACACCUUAUGUAUGUAAGGUGUCCCCAGCCCCCGGGCCACAAACGGGUACCAGCCCAUGGCCUGUUAGGAACCGGGCUACACAGCAAGAAGUGAAUCUCUGGCAAGCCAGGGAAGCUUAAUCUGUAUUUACAGCUGCUCCCCAUGGUUCACAUUAUCGUCUGAGCUCCACCUCCUGUCAGAUCAGCUGUGGCAUGAGAUUCUCAUAGGAGCUGGAACUACUGUGAACUAGGCAUGAGAGGGAUCUAGGUUAUGCUCCUUAUGAGAAUCUAAUGCCUGAUGAUCUGUCACUGUCUCCCAUCACCCCCAGAUGGGACCAUCUAGUUGCAGGAAAAUAAGCUCAGGGCUCCCACCGAUUCUACAUUAUGGUGAGUUGUGUAAUUGUUUCAUUAUAUAUUACAAUGCAAUAAUAAUAGAAAUAAAGGGCACAAUAAAUAUAAUGCACUUGAAUCGUCCAAAAC